CCCCAGCGCGAGGACUGGCCGCAGACGCGCAGAGACGAUGCUGUGGUGGCUGCAUUUUGCUUUCAUCGCAGCAGCGUCCAAAGGGGCCCAGGCGCAGGUGCGGCUGGUGGAGUCCGGGGGCGGCGCUGCGAACACAGGCGGCUCCAGGCGGCUCUCCUGCACCGGCUCCGGAUUCACUUUCAGCAGCUACACCAUGUACUGGUACCGGCAGCGCCCCGCGGAAGGGCUGGAAUGGGUCUCCUGGAUUAGCAGCACUGGCGGCAGCACAGAUUACCCUGACCCGGUGAAAGGGCGAUUCACCGUCACCAGGGACAACGCCAAGAACCAGCUGUAUCUGCAAAUGAGCCCCCUGGGACCCGAGGACAGCGCCCGGUAUCACUGCGCUGCGAGAGACACAGUGCAGGGACGCCAGGCUGAGCUCUGACAAAAACUCGCCGCGUUCAGCCCAGGGGAUUCGGGAGCAUCACGUGACUAACAUCACCCCCUGAACCCCGGUGUCCCUGAGCCUCUCCCCAGAGCCGGCCGCUCACCCACCCCCUGCAGCCUCUGUCUCAGGGGGGCUCCAGGCACCAACGCACCAAGCCCCUGCCUGG